rnacentral:rRNA from 1 species
AGGAUCACGUGAGAAACCUGCCCCAGACUUUGGGAUAACAGUUGGAAACGACUGCUAAUACCAAAUAACGUCGGAGAGUCACAUGACUUUCUGACGAAAGGAAUUCCGAUUCGAGAGGGUCUCGCGGCCUAUCAGCUUGUUGGUGGGGUAAUGGCCUACCAAGGCAACGACGGGUAGCUGGUCUGAGAGGAUGAUCAGCCACACUGGGACUGAGACACGGCCCAGACUCC